GAUGAACGCUGGCGGCGUGCCUAAUACAUGCAAGUCGAGCGAACAGACGAGGAACUUGCUCCUCUGACGUUAGCGGCGGACGGGUGAGUAACACGUGGAUAACCUACCUAUAAGACUGGGAUAACUUCGGGAAACCAGAGCUAAUACCGGAUAAUAUAUUGAACCGCAUGGUUCAAUAGUGAAAGACGCUUUUGCUGUCACUUAUAGAUAGAUCCGCGCCGCAUUAGCUAGUUGGUAAGGUAACGGCUUACCAAGGCAACGAUGCGUAGCCGACCUGAGAGGGUGACUGGCCACACUGGAACUGAGACACGGCCCAGACCCCUACGGGAGGCAGCAGUAGGGAAUCUUCCCCAAUGGGGGAAAGCCUGACGGAGAAACGCCGGGGGGGGGAUGAAGGUCUUCGGAUCGUAAAACUCUUUUAUUAGGGAAAAAGAAAUGUGUAAGUAACUAUGCACGUCUUGACGGUACCUAAUCAGAAAGCCACGGCUAACUACGUG
rnacentral:rRNA from 1 species